rnacentral:misc_RNA from 1 species
AACCCUCUCAUUCCAAUUCUUUAUUAAAUUAAGGAAAUGUGUAAUGGAUUUUGAGUGUUGCUGUUAUUGGCUCACUUUAAAUAUAUAAGUACCUUUAUUGAAUAAAUAAAUGGAGAAAUACUUGGUGUAAUAUUUAUUAUUCAUCAAGGAAUGUGGUUUACCACAGCCAUUUAAACUUUCAAUAAAUAGCUUCCUAACCCCAAUAUAUCAAUCUU